rnacentral:rRNA from 1 species
AUUGAACGCUGGCGGCAGGCCUAACACAUGCAAGUCGAGCGGCAGCACAGUAAUUGCUCCCGCAUACAGCGGCCGACGGGCGAAUAAUGGCUAAGAACCUGGCAGUCUACGUUGUCUUGCGUGAGAACGCGGGCGCACAUACCCCAUUAGCGCUGACGACCUACGGGUGGGAUCAUGGGAUCUUCCGCUCUCACAUGAGCGGAUGUCGGAUUAGCUAGUUGGUGGGGUAAAGGCCUACCAAGGCGACGAUCCGUAGCUGGUCUGAGAGGAUGAUCAGCCACACUGGAACUGAGACACGGUCCAGACUCCUACGGGAGGCAGCAGUGGGGAAUAUUGGACAAUGGGCGCAAGCCUGAUCCAGCCAUACCGCGUGGGUGAAGAAGGCCUUCGGGUUGUAAAGCACUUUUGGUGGGAAAGAAAAGCAGCAGGUUAAUACCUUGCUGUUCUGACGGUACCAAAAGAAUAAGCACCGGCUAACUUCGUG